AUGCUUCCCCUCAGCCUGUUUCCUUUUAUGCUUACUCUGUGCCCGCCAGGCACUCGGCCAUGGAUGGCUGCCACCUGACCCCAGCUGUACUGCUUUCAUUAAUCCAAGGUGAGAGGCGCACACGGGGCGCUCUCUGAACCCUCCAGGUGAUUUUAAUGUGCAGCCAGGUUAGAAAACCUCUGCUUGGUCUUUGUGGCCUUCACGUCGUUGCUUAAGCUUUUGCAUCCUCCCAACUCCUGACCUUUACACGGGCUGCCCCUUGCACAGGAUCCUACCUACUUCUUCUGGCUGCCCGUUCACACUUCUAAGAGGAGGCUAUCAGGCUUUCAGAUGUUGCGAGGUAGGGAAGGCCGGUAAAUCAUCAUUUUGUGAGAAUAUGAGAGGAGGGAUGUUACCUGGAACAUGGGGAGAAGGGCCUUCCUUCGUGGAAAAUGGGCUUUGUCUUGCAAUUCUGGCCGGCUGUGGCUCCAGAUCACAGAAGGCUUUGUCUUCUCUAAGACAAAGGAAGAGCAGAAAUGAGAGACUGUGACAGACUUAGAAUCCAUUCCACCUGUGAACUUACGUGUCCUCUACAAAUUCUUUGCACAGCUUCCUUGCAACCUUCUCUCACCUCUGCACAUUACAGAAAUGGGUGUGAUCAUAGUACCUAUCUGUCUCAGAGGUCGGUGUGAGAUUUAACUGAGUGACUGCUUCUGAAGUCCGUACCCAGAUCUUAGUCAGGAAGUUUUCGGCAGCCCACUCUCCCCUGGAGGUGCCCUUGGCCACAGACUGUGCUGGCUGAAGACACUGCUGGCUUCAGCAGGAGCCUGGACUCGCCGGGCCAGGAUCUCUCCUUGUCUUUCACGAGGAUUCUGCCACUGCAGUACAAACCCAGUUUUCAGAAAAUCAAGAUGAAAUUGCUCCAAACAAUGCGCCCCCCUGGAGCCCAGUAGCAGGCCUAUAGUGCUGGCCUCUUGGGGAGCUGAGACAGGAGAAUGCCUUGAGGCCAGAGUUCAAGGCCAGCCUCAGCAAUACAGUGAAAAGCGGUUUCAGAAAUAAUUAGGCCCAUGAGUAUAGCUCACUGGUAGAGUGCUUGCAUGUUCAAGGCCCUGAGUUCAAUCCCUAAAACUGCAAAAAGAAAUAAACAAACAAUGUGACCUUGGUUGACCUUUGAUGUGCAUAAAUAGGUUUACUCCUUUCUACUUAAGCAUGAGGAUCCAUUUGGUCCUUGUGUUGGAGAUGAGAGGGCUUUUUUGGCUUUGAAACACUAUCAUACUAGCAAAUGUGUAAGGAUCAGUUCUCAGAUGAAAACAGCCCUGUCGCAAGGCAGCUACUAUAGGCUUUUAUGAAGCUGGGGCAUAGCAAUGUAGAAUUAUUUUUUAAACUAUGAAAUACCUUAAGCACAAAAGAAACAUAAAGAAAUAUAGAGGAUAAUACAAUAAAUGUUCAUAUACUUACCAACUUGUAUUAAAUCUGAACACUUUCUGAUAUUUCUUUUUGAAGAAACAGUUGAAGACUCUGGGUCUUCUCUAGCCUCCUUGCCCUGCAAAAGUGAUUAAAGCAACUCCAGCAUUUAGCUCUUCCUUGCCCACAGGCAGAUGUUCUUCAAGCUCUCUGUGUUGCACGUGCCCGAAGAGAAUUUCCCAGGGCUUUUGGGAGGUGACAGGAUCAAGUGUGCGUGCUGCUCAUCACUAGAUCAGUCCACUGAUGGGUUCACAGCUCCAUGUGAGGUUGGGAGGUAAAACUUGGUGGGACGAGGUGAGUCACUGUGAGCAUGGCCUGGGAGAGUCUAUGUCCCUUUUCCUCCCUUGAUCCCUUGCUGCUUCCUGUCUGCCACAUCACAGACUGUUUCUCCUCUGCCGUGCCACCCUGCCUUGGAACCAGCUGACUAUGACCUGAAACCUCUACCGACUGUGAGACAAAAUAAACCUUUCUCCCUGUAAGUUGUGGGUGUCAGGUGUUGUGUCUCAGUGACAAGAAACUAA
rnacentral:lncRNA from 1 species